UGAGUAUGUCUGGGAACUGCCUGAUGGAGGGGGAUAACUACUGGAAACGGUAGCUAAUACCGCAUAACGUCGCAAGACCAAAGAGGGGGACCUUCGGGCCUCUUGCCAUCGGAUGUGCCCAGAUGGGAUUAGCUAGUAGGUGGGGUAACGGCUCACCUAGGCGACGAUCCCUAGCUGGUCUGAGAGGAUGACCAGCCACACUGGAACUGAGACACGGUCCAGACUCCUACGGGAGGCAGCAGUGGGGAAUAUUGCACAAUGGGCGCAAGCCUGAUGCAGCCAUGCCGCGUGUAUGAAGAAGGCCUUCGGGUUGUAAAGUACUUUCAGCGGGGAGGAAGGGAGUAAAGUUAAUACCUUUGCUCAUUGACGUUACCCGCAGAAGA
rnacentral:rRNA from 1 species